AGAAGCAAUAGCUUGGAAUAUUGGGGAGCAAAGGGCUAGUGAGCGCCUCAGAGGUUGUGCAUCUUGCCGAGAGAUGCAUAACGUAAAAACUCUGAAAGGCACGUGUGGCAUGCACGACGCAUAAAGCACUUUCCUAGCAAGUCCUACUUCUACCUCCCCGUGGUGCUCCCUGGGUAACGCUAACAGAAGAGGGCAAAGGGCGAGUUGCCGGCGCCCUAAAACUGGCACUCCUCGGCUAAGGUAUGGAAACCCUUACAGAAGAGUCCCCGCUCCUCCAGGUUGGGGGUUAUGCGAGAGGCUGACAUGGUCUGACACUUUGUCUCAUGUAAUAUCAAUGAUAAUUCAAAAUUAAUCUGUAUUAAGUUUUUUUUCCAAGUAUAGAUUGUGUAUAAACCUUACGAUAUAAAAAGCAUUAUUUUAUUUAGCAUUGAUUUUGGAGAAAUGAGUCAUAAGUUGUAUGUAAAUACUUGAUUAAAAUUUUAUAUUUAUUUUUGAGCAGAUAACUUUUGAAUAAGAAUAUUUCUUAAGUUUAUUCAAUUUUAUUCAUUUAUCAUAACUAAUGUUUAAAAAAAAUGAUGUAAUUUUUUGCAAAAAUGGAUAGUCUGUACUGAUUGAGUAAAGUGUACAUCAAAUCUGAUACCACCUUGGAGCUCCCUAUUAACUUAUACUACAGUGUCUUUCAGUCUUUUUGCUGGCAGUGAUUGUUUAUGGAAUGUUUUUGAUCACAAUUUGUUGCAUUUGAGAUCUAACGUGUGCUGAUCAAUUAGCUACAUCCCUUAUAUAGCGGGUUUAGCUAAUUCCUAAUUCUAGACGCUGUUUAUAUACAAGUGUCAUGCACAGUCUUUAUUCUCUAUGAAGGAGCUUGGGCCAGAUGACAAGAGCUGCACACUUGGGGAUAAACAUCGAAUGCUUCCAAGAAUCAUUUUAUCUGUAAGAGGUCGGGCUACAAACGUCUAUCGGAUAAAACGAUCCAUUAAAGUACUCGGUGUUGUUCGCAGCAACGGCAGGAAAACAAGGAUGGUUUAAGACGAGAACAUCUUCCUCACCAGUAGCAGACUAUCCGAUCCUGGCCCCCAGGAUCCGAAAGCCUAGUCCGUGCUUCUUUCUUAUAUAUGAACCAUACCGAAAGCAAGCGCUUUCGAGAAACGGAGAAACGUUUGUAUCAUUAAUUUAAUUUCUCUAAAAUCAAUAAAAUUAAAUUUAAUAACAAACUUCAAUUAUAACAUUAAAACUAUGCAAUUUGUAAAAUUUUUCACAAAAUUACAAUGUAAUAUAAUUUCUUUUAGCUUAAAUAAAGCUUUUAAUUUGAAUAAUCAUUAAGGUGAUAACCAUCUCUUGGCCAAUAACCAAACUAAAAGUGCGCGACACGUGCUGUGUGCAUGUAAGAACCUAAUCUCUCCUCGCAGUCUGUUCCGAGUGUUGACGCGUGUCCCAAGUGAGACGCAAAAUAAAAACAAAAAAUCUGUUCCGAGCAUAUAUUUAAAAUUCCUAUAUAAAAGAGAUGAUGCUAACAUGAGAGUACAGACGACAUCGUACUUGACAACGAACAACUAAAGCCACUUUGACGUAUUAUUUGUUGUACACCUGUUCAGCGGUGAAAUUUGUUACUUAGCUUAUAAAAGUGUUUAAAAAAGGGAAACGAAAUAAUGCGAUUUUGUUGUUUGUGUAAAAGAAAAAGCACACAGGAUAAUAAGAUUAUUUUACUUAAGUAAGUUUACUGACAAAUGAUAUGUAUUAACAGUAUUUUUGCCUCACUGAUAGAUGCUGGGAACAUUCGUAAUCUCUGCUCAUUUUCAAGUCAGAGUAUCAUUUUAUAUCAAUUUAUAUAAUGUUCUGUAAUUAGAAGACUCAAUGAUGAUUGUGAAUAAAUUCCCAAUGGAGAAAGAUAGUUAAAUACUAUUAAUUCAUCUGUAAUAUAUGAUAAGUUUGUAUGUUACUGUUUGUGUGCGAAUUGUGCAAUGUCAAUUUGCAUUAUGACACUUAUUGAAUAUGUGCAAGCUCUAUCUGAUAAUCCGUACGAUGCUGGUCUAUUUAAUCUCAGAGCUGGAGCUGCCCUGUUGAAGAAAGAUGGUUGGAUUGGAACUAUGUUAUUCGGGUGAUACUAUAUGAUCAUUUUGGAGGCAUCAUGCAGUGAUAAAAGUUAUCAGUGGCUGCUGCAAUGGAUCAUGCAAAAUGGCAUGUGAAAGACGUAACAUCUUUCUUUGGAGACUAAUUUCGAGCAGAGGGAGUUUUACUAGUCACAUAAAAACCAAGUGUGAUUUUAUUCCCAUAGGAACUUUUUCAGAUAUAAGGAAAACUAGAUAAUGAAAGAACUAGAGAGCAACAGACUUUAGAUCUGCACAUAAACGUACCAUGGGAAACCGUGCAGUUGACGGCGUUCUGCAAAGCAUAUACCACAAUAUUCUCAAAGAAAAUUGAGUUCGUACAAAUAUUUGCAGAAUUGCAUUACGUAAUAUUGGAAAAUCAGCAACAAUACUCUUAAUUCGUAUAACCAGACAAAUGGCUCUGAGAGAACACGACAGCAAGACUAUGUGUUGCGACGGGAAGCGAGUGGCGGCAGUUCGGACACGCCAGAAAGAGCAGACUGCUGUAACGAUUGUCGGGAAUUUAUUAAUAACCCAUUGUGUUAUAGCGAAAGAGGUAUCAACUUACAGCUUUACAAUUUUAUGUUUCUAUUAUUAUAGAAUAGGUUUAAUAACUGAACAGACAGAAUAAUGACUGCUUUUAUCAAUGCUUUUUUUUAUUCAGAAAAUCUUCAUUAUAUUUAAAUUAUAAAGAAAUUUUUAUCAUUGCUCUAAUUACGUGAUAUUACAAUGAUAUUGCGUGAAGAAAUAAGUAUUAUUAUAAGUACUAAAGUGAUUCUAUUAACUCCUUUUGAAAAAAAUUGUAAUUAGUACUGUGAAAAACAAAUUAAUAGAUUUGAACAAUAAAAAAAAUAUAA
rnacentral:lncRNA from 13 species